UACAGAGGGGGCAAGCGUUAUUCGGAAUUAUUGGGCGUAAAGGGCGCGUAGGCGGCUUUGCAAGUGACGGGUGAAAUCCCACGGCUUAACCGUGGAACUGCCUGUCAGACUGCAUGGCUUGAGUCUCGGAGAGGGUGGUGGAAUUCCCAGUGUAGAGGUGAAAUUCGUAGAUAUCGGGAGGAACACCAGUGGCGAAGGCGACUACCUGGCCUGUUUCUUGACGCUGAGGCGCGAAAGCUAGGGGAGCAAACGGG
rnacentral:rRNA from 1 species